rnacentral:lncRNA from 1 species
GGUGAAGAAAAUCUUAAAACAAGCAUUUGUACGUUUUUAGCAGUUUUAUCACAUUUAGACAUUAUUACUCAAAAUAUUCCAGAAAAGAAACUAAUUCUGAAGCAAGCCCUUAUAGUUGUGCUGCAGUGGUGUUUCAAUCACAAUUUUAGUGUUCGACUGUAUGCUUUAGUUGCUCUUAAGAAACUCUGGACUGUGUGUAAAGUGUUAAGUGUUGAAGAAUUUGAUGCCCUGACUCCUGUGAUUGAAUCCAGCCUCCAUCAAGUGGAAAGCAUGCACGGAGCAGGGAAUGCCAAGAAGAAUUGGCAACGCAUUCAGGAGCAUUUCUUUUUUGCAACAUUUCACCCACUCAAGGAUUAUUGUCUAGAGGCAGUGUCUGGCUUGUAAACAAUGGAAGGGAAUAUUUAACUCUAAACAGAAAUCUGUUCUGACAUUAAAAGGAAAUGAGUGAGAACAUUUGUGCAGCGCCCAGAAUGCUUUGUCCGGCAUCUUUCUGCAGGACUCCUCUAGUCACUCUAGUGUUAAGUCAACCUUUUUC